ACUCCUACGGGAGGCAGCAGUGAGGAAUAUUGGUCAAUGGGCGCAAGCCUGAACCAGCCAUGCCGCGUGCAGGAUGACGGCUCCUGAUGGAUUAGUAACUGCUUUUGUACGGGAAGAAACACUCCUUCGUGAAGGAGCUUGACGGUACCGUAAGAAUAAGGAUCGGCUAACUCCGUGCCAGCAGCCGCGGUAAUACGGAGGAUCCAAGCGUUAUCCGGAAUCAUUGGGUUUAAAGGGUCCGUAGGCGGUUUUAUAAGUCAGUGGUGAAAUCCGGCAGCUCAACUGUCGAACUGCCAUUGAUACUGUAGAACUUGAAUUAUUGUGAAGUAACUAGAAUAUGUAGUGUAGCGGUGAAAUGCUUAGAGAUUACAUGGAAUACCAAUUGCGAAGGCAGGUUACUAACAAUAUAUUGACGCUGAUGGACGAAAGCGUGGGUAGCGAACAGGAUUAGAUA
rnacentral:rRNA from 1 species